CCAGAAAGGCAAGAAAGGCGAGCAGGCUCCCCUGGAGAAAAACCAACAUGCUUAUUGCAAGCAGACUAGACACUGGAAAAAAGAAUGCCCAUUAAAGCCAGAGGAAAAACCAGAAAAGAAAAAUUAAGUCCUCACCCUCCCCGCAGCGGAGGAGUCUGAUGACUGACGAGACCGGGGCUCCUUCUCUCUUGGCCCCCAGCAGCCCACGGUGACCGCCACAGUGGAGGGCCAUGGUGACGUCCGGUAGCCUACUUGUCUUAAGAGGCUAGACCCUGUGGCCUCCACCAAGUAGCCAAGUUGUCUGUGAGCAGUAGCAGCAACAGCGAGCCUGGUCCAGGAAGCUGAUAAACUGACUCUGGGCCAAAAUUUAACCCUUACAGGUCCUCAUGCUGUAGACACUUUACUAUGAAGUGCCUCUGGCAAAUGGAUGUCAAAUGCCCGCAUCCUGCAGUAUCACAGUUUACUGUUAGAUCAGCCUCAUUUAACUUUCUCUCCCACAAGAUGCUUAAAUCCAGCUACCUUGCUCCCUGACCCAGACCUUACCACACCUGUCCAUGACUGCCAAGAACUGUUAGAGACUACGGAAACUGGCCGACCUGAUCUCCAAGACGUGCCUUUAAAGGAGGCGGAUGCCACUGUGUUUACAGACAGUAGCAGCUUCCUUGAGCAGGGAGUUCGAAAGGCUGGUGCUGCCAUCACUACGGAGACGAAUAUACUGUGGGCCCAAGCACUGCCAGCAGGUACCUCGGCACAGAGGGCUGAGUUGAUUGCCCUCUCUCAGGCCCUCCGAUAGGGUAACGACGAACGUAUUAAAAUUCACACUGACAGCAGGUAUGCUUUUGCUACUGUGCAUGUACAUGGAGCCAUCUACCAAGAGCAUGGGCUACUCAUCUCAGCAGGAAAGGCUAUCAAGAACAAAGAAGAAAUUUUGGCCCUGCUUGAAGCUGUUUGGCUCCCUCAACAGCUGGCUGUAAUUCACUGCAAAUGACAUCAAAAAGAAGACAUGGCCAUUGCCUGUGGUAACCAAAGAGCAGACUCUGCAGCCUGGGAGGCAGCUCAACUCCCAGUCACGCCUCUGACUCUGCUGCCUGCAGUGUCCUUUCCGCAACCUGACUUACCAGAUCACCCAGAAUACUCCCCAGAGGAGGAAAAAUAGGCUUUGGAUCUUCAGGCCAGUAAAAAUCAGGAAGAUUGGUGGAUUCUUCCUGAUUCCGGAAUCUUCAUACCCCAAGCUCUCGGGGAAACUUUAAUCAGUCGUCUGCAUUCUACCACCCAUUUAGAAGGAGGAAACCUGGCCCAGCUUCUAAGGAGCCGUUUCAAGAUCCCCCACCUUCAGGACUUAGCGAACCAAGCAGCUUGUGCCCAGGUGAACGCCAAGCAAGGUCCUAAACCCAGCUCAGGCCACCGCCUCCGGGGAGGCUCGCCAGGAGAAGGUACAAGACAUCAUCCAGCCGCUUGUCCGGGGAGCUCAUCCCAACCCAGUUCCUGACCAGACGGGGCUCUGCCACUCUUUCCAGCCGGGUGACCUGGUGUAUGUUAAAAAGUUCCAAAAGAAAAAAAAAAAGGACUCACUCCUGCCUGGAAAAGACCUCAUACUGUCAUCCUCACCACACUGACGGCUCUGAAAGUGGACAGCAUUCCUGCUCAAAUUCAUAACACCCCCUAGUACCAAAGCAUGUUUAACUGUAAUCCAUGACUAACUACUCUAAUUACUGGAUUGGCGGGACCCCUUUCUCCUCCUCUUGUUUAGUCUUCAAACCUCGUAAGUUAAAACUGGUUUCUUAACUUUAUAAAGCAACACAUAGCUUCUGUCAAACUUAUAUAUCUUAAAGUCCAAUAUAACCCUCUUGUAACAAGUGGGGAAUAUGAUAUGCUACCUUGUUUUAACCUGAAUUGAGUCUCCCUUAGCUGAGAGAGCCAGACAAACUCCAUUUUGGCUCCUUCACUUGCAGCUCCUUGCCCACCCAAUUCCUCAAGGACUUAACUUGUGCAAGCUGACUCCCAGCACAUCAGAGUGCAAUUAACUGAUAAGGUCCUGUGGCAAGUUAUGUCCGCAGUUCCCAGGAAUUCGCUCGGGUGAUAGUAUCCUAAGCCCCUGCAUUUGUAUCCAGUAGAUAGCACCCAAAGCCCUUGCACCCAUCACCUUGUGAUGGAUUUAAAGCCCCUGCACCUGGAACCAUUUGUUUUCCUGUAACCAUUUGUCUAACUUUUUUUUGCCUGUUUUACUUCUAUAAGAUUGCUAUAGCUAGGCUCCCCUUCCCCUCUCUAAACCAAAGUAUAAAAGAAAAUCUAGCCCCUUCUUCAGGGCUGAGAGAAUUUUG
rnacentral:lncRNA from 1 species